UGGGGAAUAUUGCACAAUGGGCGCAAGCCUGAUGCAGCCAUGCCGCGUGUGUGAAGAAGGCCUUCGGGUUGUAAAGCACUUUCAGCGGGGAGGAAGGCGAUAAGGUUAAUAACCUUGUCGAUUGACGUUACCCGCAGAAGAAGCACCGGCUAACUCCGUGCCAGCAGCCGCGGUAAUACGGAGGGUGCAAGCGUUAAUCGGAAUUACUGGGCGUAAAGCGCACGCAGGCGGUCUGUCAAGUCGGAUGUGAAAUCCCCGGGCUUAACCUGGGAACUGCAUUCGAAACUGGCAGGCUAGAGUCUUGGAGAGGGGGGUAGAAUUCCAGGUGUAGAGGUGAAAUGCGUAGAGAUCUGGAGGAAUACCGGUGGCGAAGGCGGCCCCCUGGACAAAGACUGACGCUCAGGUGCGAAAGCGUGGGGAGCAAACAGG
rnacentral:rRNA from 1 species